AGGGAAGAUGUUGCCACUGUACGCAGUUGGGAGAAGAAGGACCUGGCACAUGAGGAAGCCAAGUAGUUGGAUCAGCCCUACUUUUUUUGUUUGGUUGUUGCUCAAAGUAAAAAUGCGAGGAAA
ensembl:lncRNA HHATL-AS1 HHATL antisense RNA 1